rnacentral:rRNA from 1 species
GGACUACUAGGGUAUCUAAUCCUGUUUGCUACCCACGCUUUCGCGUCUCAGCGUCAGUAUCCGUCCAGGUGGCCGCCUUCGCCACUGGUGUUCCUCCCGAUAUCUACGAAUUUCACCUCUACACCGGGAAUUCCGCCACCCUCUCCGGUACUCAAGCCCUGUAGUUUUGGGCGCACUUCCUCGGUUAAGCCGAGGGCUUUCACACCCAACUUGCAAGGCCGCCUACACGCGCUUUACGCCCAAUAAUUCCGAACAACGCUUGCACCCUCUGUAUUACCGCGGCGGCUGGCAC